AAAUCAAUAGGUGAAAUAACAUAUCUCUCAAUGAAGUGUUAUUUCUACACAUUAUAACAAAAAACUAAAACAUGGAGAAGGCACAAAUAAUCGUCAAGCGACGGUUAUUUCAUCUGCACUUGCCCCUUCUUCCUCUUUAAAAAUUGAUGCAAGAAAAUGGAGCCACUUCAAAUCUCAAAGCACCUUGCCCUGGCUUCUCAAUUCAGGUGAUUAAUUGUUCUUGCUCGUCAAUUAAAUGCUUGCCAAUCGUGUGUGUGCUGAUGGAGCUGGGUUGGGACUGAAAUCGUGUGUGUAAAAGACGAUGGUUGAUAGAAAGGCUGCUGACAGCGAGGGGAGAGAGAGCUGCUGGUGUGGGUUAGUGGAGGAAGGAAAGUUCGUCGGCUGCCAUGGGUGGUUUUGUUGGUUGUUGGUGCAUGCACAAAAAGGGUUGUGGCCUGAGCUUCGGCUGAAGGGAGAAGAUGAAGGAAAAGAAAAAUGUUUUUUUUUUAUUCAAAGUAAAACGGUCAGAGUUUUAUGGUCCGUGAUAAAACCUAUGGCCUCCUUUUAAUUCCGUAUUUUCAACCUUGCUUUGUGCAGAAUGCCCCCGCCAUUUUUCUUUUCCAUGUUUUAGGCAAUGUCUCUCGAUUGUCUCUUAUUAUUUUUUAGUCCUUCAUUUUCUUUUGUCA
rnacentral:lncRNA from 1 species